GACAGUCUCAACAUCUGGUUUAAUGAAACCACUGGUGCUUAGAGGUCUGCUAACCCAGGGCCACUUUAACACCGUAGCUGCAGGCUUUGGAAAUCAUCAGCUGGCAUGCAUUUGGGCAGAAUACCCAGUCUGCUCUGAAUUCCCACUUUUGCUUAGAAGUUGGCCUGUGAUUUUACCGCCGGGGCCGACCUUAAUAUAGAGUACACAGAUGGCUACCUACGUGGUGUGAUCUGAGGGCAACCAAGACAAGGUUCUUCACCACAUUGCCUGCUUGACCAGCAUUACUUAACUUUGGCUCUUGAUGGCUACUGCAGAUUAUAAAAACAUUCUUCAAACAGUGGAGAAAAUCCAACCCAAGGAGAACAGAAUAUUCUUAGUGUAUAGAGGAUGAAGUUCAAACAAAAUCAUUGCUGAGACUACCAUGAGACGUGAAAAAAAACCGAUUUAGGAAAUAGUAGACUGUGACAAUGCCGCAGACAGCAGCCAAGGGCAUUCACAUCUAACACCAUGAGCAUCUUCGUGUCUCUGUUCAUUCCUGUGUUAUGAACGUACCAUUCUUUGAUGGUAAGUCACAAAGUCAUCACUUUGCCUGUUACAUUUGAGCAGCUGUGGAAAAACAGAUUGCAGGUUAAGAUUUCCUUCCCGGCUGUUUUUAAAAUGAUUUCUGUGGUCUGAGUUGUAUUCCAUUUUUGGCCAUCAGUGUGUUUGUAGGCAAACUUCUUAUGUUUAUCUCUAGGUGCUUUGUUUUGUAACUAUAUUUAAAGUUACUAAUAGUGAAAUAAUUCACCUUUAAACAAGAGAUUGUAAAAGAGUAUUAAAUAAAGGGGAAAUUUUCUGUGCCUUAGCCUUUUAAAUUGCAAACAAUGAAUAGGCUUUAUUUUCUCUCAAAGUUCUUAAAGCUACUCAUAGUUCAUAAAUAUAGUGAAAUUAUAAACUCAUCAGCUUAUCAUUUUAAAUUUAGCUUAAUUAGAGAUGAGGACAAAAGCAGAUUAUGAGAAAACAGAAUUCUGGGUAUCAUAGGUAAAUAUUAUAGUGUAACUUCUUUGGUCAGAGCUUGCCUAGAAAAAUCUACAAUUUACUUGAUGUUUUUGGUUGAUUUUUCUGUGAUUCCUCUUCUCCUGUAUUUUUUUUUUUCCACCCAGGCUGGAGUGCAGUGGCGCAAUCUCAGCUCACUGCAGCUUCAGCCUCCCAGGUUCAAGUGAGUCUCCUGCCUCAGCCUCCCAGGUAGCUGGGAUUACAGGCACCUGCCACCAUGCCCGGCUAAUUUUUUUUUUUUUGUAUUUUUAGUGGAGAUGGGGUUUCACCAUAUUGGCCAGGCUAGUUUCAAAUUCCUGACUUUGUGAUCUGCCUGCCUUGGCCUCUCAAAGUGCUGGAUUAUAGGCGUGAGCCACUGUGCCCAGCCGCUUCUACUGCACUUUAAAAAUAUUCUCGGAUGUUAUACAUACGUAUCCAUUUGUUCAUCAUAUUAUCUAUUUGAACACAAACAUCCACUGUGUUCUGAGAAUUAUGUUUGUGCUUGAAGCUUCUAAAUGGAAUAGACAGGUCCCACUGUGUCAGCGGGAAACAGAAACAAUUACAGUCUUGUUACACACACAGAAAUAUGCUUGAGGUUCCAAGAGAUCACCUGGGAAGGAGCUCCUGGUUCUGUCUGGAAAUGUCAGGGGGAACCUGCCCAAGGAGGAAACACUUACCUGAGGGAGCAACUCCUUUCCUUGUGAUCUAGACGGGGAGAAAAGCAGGUGUUCGGUAAGUACUUGGCUUGAGGGAGCCCUGGGUGCUCUCCACAGCCUUAGAGAUUCUGGGGAGGAGCUUAGAGGUUCACAGCCUAAGAAGUUCUGGGGAGGUGCUUAAGGAAGGACCCACUAACAGUCAGAGGAAAAAUAUCAAGUAAGAGAGACUUCCA
ensembl:lncRNA